rnacentral:rRNA from 1 species
UAGGGAAUUUUCGUCAAUGGGGGGGAACCCUGAACGAGCAAUGCCGCGUGUGUGAAGAAGGUCUUCGGAUCGUAAAGCACUGUUGUAAGUGAAGAAUGCCAUAUAGAGGAAAUGCUAUGUGGGUGACGGUAGCUUACCAGAAAGCCACGGCUAACUACGUGCCAGCAGCCGCGGUAAUACGUAGGUGGCAAGCGUUAUCCGGAAUCAUUGGGCGUAAAGGGUGCGUAGGUGGCACGAUAAGUCUGAAGUAAAAGGCAACAGCUCAACUGUUGUAUGCUUUGGAAACUGUCGAGCUAGAGUGCAGAAGAGGGCGAUGGAAUUCCAUGUGUAGCGGUAAAAUGCGUAGAUAUAUGGAAGAACACCAGUGGCGAAGGCGGUCGCCUGGUCUGUAACUGACACUGAUGCACGAAAGCGUGGGGAGCAAAUAGGAUUAGAUACC